AGUGAACGCUGGCGGUAGGCCUAACACAUGCAAGUCGAACGGCAGCACAGUAAGAGCUUGCUCUUACGGGUGGCGAGUGGCGGACGGGUGAGGAAUACAUCGGAAUCUACUUUUUCGUGGGGGAUAACGUAGGGAAACUUACGCUAAUACCGCAUACGACCUACGGGUGAAAGCAGGGGAUCUUCGGACCUUGCGCGAUUGAAUGAGCCGAUGUCGGAUUAGCUAGUUGGGGGGUAGAGGCCCACCAAGGCGACGAUCCGUAGCUGGUCUGAGAGGAUGAUCAGCCACACUGGAACUGAGACACGGUCCAGACUCCUACGGGAGGCAGCAGUGGGGAAUAUUGGACAAUGGGCGCAAGCCUGAUCCAGCCAUACCGCGUGGGUGAAGAAGGCCUUCGGGUUGUAAAGCCCUUUUGUUGGGAAAGAAAAGCAGCAGGUUAAUACCCCGCUGUUCUGACGGUACCCAAAGAAUAAGCACCGGCUAACUUCGUG
rnacentral:rRNA from 1 species